rnacentral:rRNA from 1 species
UACGGAGGGUGCAAGCGUUAUCCGGAUUCACUGGGUUUAAAGGGUGCGUAGGAGGGCAGGAAAGUCAGUGGUGAAAUCUUCGAGCUUAACUCGGAAACUGCCGUUGAUACUCUCUGUCUUGAAUACCGUGGAGGUGAGCGGAAUAUGUCAUGUAGCGGUGAAAUGCUUAGAUAUGACAUAGAACACCAAUUGCGAAGGCAGCUCACUACACGAAUAUUGACUCUGAGGCACGAAAGCGUGGGGAUCAAACAGG